AGCGAACGCUGGCGGCAGGCUUAACACAUGCAAGUCGAGCGGGUGUAGCAAUACAUCAGCGGCAGACGGGUGAGUAACGCGUGGGAACGUACCUUUUGGUUCGGAACAACACAGGGAAACUUGUGCUAAUACCGGAUAAGCCCUUACGGGGAAAGAUUUAUCGCCGAAAGAUCGGCCCGCGUCUGAUUAGCUAGUUGGUAGGGUAACGGCCUACCAAGGCGACGAGCAGUAGCUGGUCUGCGAGGAUGAUCAGCCACAUUGGUCCUGAGACACGGCCCAAAGUUCUACGGGAGGCGGCAGUGGGGAAUGUUGGACAAUGGGGGCAACCCUGAUCCAGCCAUGCCGCGUGAGUGAUGAGCGCCCUAGGGUUGUAAAGCUCUUCUGUGCGGGAAGAUAAUGACGGUACCGAAAGAAUAAGCCCCGGCUAACUGCGAGCAAGACGCCGCCGUAAUAC
rnacentral:rRNA from 1 species